AUUGAACGCUGGCGGCAGGCCUAUCACAUGCCAGUCGAACGGUAACAGGAAGCAGCUUGCUGCUUUGCUGACGAGUGGCGGACGGGUGAGUAAUGUCUGGGAAACUGCCUGAUGGAGGGGGAUAACUACUGGAAACGGUAGCUAAUACCGCAUAACGUCGCAAGACCAAAGAGGGGGACCUUCGGGCCUCUUGCCAUCGGAUGUGCCCAGAUGGGAUUAGCUAGUAGGUGGGGUAACGGCUCACCUAGGCGACGAUCCCUAGCUGGUCUGAGAGGAUGACCAGCCACACUGGAACUGAGACACGGUCCAGACUCCUACGGGAGGCAGCAGUGGGGAAUAUUGCACAAUGGGCGCAAGCCUGAUGCAGCCAUGCCGCGUGUAUGAAGAAGGCCUUCGGGUUGUAAAGUACUUUCAGCGGGGAGGAAGGGAGUAAAGUUAAUACCUUUGCUCAUUGACGUUACCCGCAGAAGAAGCACCGGCUAACUCCGUG
rnacentral:rRNA from 1 species